rnacentral:rRNA from 1 species
AACUGCUGUCAGGGUUUAGGAACACAAUGACCAGACCCAAAGGAAGAGACGGCUACUCUGUGCCAGCAGCCGCGGUAAUACAGAGGUCUCGAGCGUUAAUCGGAAUCACUGGGCUUAAAGCGUACGCAGGCGGACCGGUAAGUACUUUGUGAAAUCCCUCGGCUCAACCGAGGAACUGCUUGGUAUACUGCCGGUCUUGAGCAUGGUAGAGGCGGUCGGAACGAUAGGUGGAGCGGUGAAAUGCGUAGAUAUCUAUCGGAACGCCGAAGGUGAAGACAGGCCGCUGGGCCAUUGCUGACGCUCAGGUACGAAAGCGUGGGGAGCGAACGGGAUUAGAUACCCCGGUAGUCCACGCCCUAAACGAUGUGCACUAGAUCAGGGAGGUUCUGAUACCCUCCGGGUCGAAGCAAAAGUGUUAAGUGCACCGCCUGGGGAGUACGGUCGCAAGGCUAAAACUCAAAGGAAUUGACGGGGGCUCACACAAGCGGUGGAGCAUGUGGCUUAAUUCGAAGCAACGCGAAGAACCUUAUCCUGGGCUUGACAUGUAUGGAUUAGCAUAUGGAAACAUAUGUGACGCGGUUUACCGUGGAACAUACACAGGUGCUGCAUGGCUGUCGUCAGCUCGUGCUGUGAAGUGUCGGGUUAAGUCCCUCAACGAGCGAAACCCCUGUCGUUAGUUGCCAGCGAGUCAUGUCGGGGACUCUAACGAGACUGCCGGUGUCAAACCGGAGGAAGGUGGGGAUGACGUCAAGUCCUCAUGGCCUUUAUGUCCAGGGCUGCACACGUGCUACAAUGGCAUGUACAAAGCGAUGCAAUACCGCGAGGUGGAGCAAAUCGCAUAAAGCAUGCCCCAGUUCAGAUUGCAGUCUGCAACUCGACUGCAUGAAGUUGGAAUCGCUAGUAAUCGCGGAUCAGCUACGCCGCGGUGAAUACGUUCCUGAGCCUUGUACACACCGCCCGUCAAGUCAUGGAAGCCGGGAGCACCCGAAGCCGCC